GCUGAAUUGAGGUGGCUUUGAGGUCAUCCGAUUUCUAGACGUGUGCGGUCACCUGGUCCUGAAAACCCUCCACACAGAAUGGUUUGCAAUUUUUUUUGGUGAUGGCAUGUUCAGAAUCUUGGAUCCCUAAAUUGAAUGUUGGAAAUAUGUAGGAGCCUUGGAAAUUACGUUGUUUUCAUAUAUUAAUGUUUUGGUAGACUAAUAAAUGUAUGUAAAGGAACUCCAUACUUGUAAGGUGACAGGUAUGUCUCAGGGCUGUCACCUGUGUGAGUGCUGUGCUGUGGAGACAGCUCUGCUGUGGAGAUUCUCUGUGGACCUCUCGCUGUCCUGGGCAGACUGCGAGAUUCCUCCCAUGAUGCUUUGGUUAGCUGGUUUUCUUUCCUACCUACAUUGCAGUGGGAGCUCCUUAGAUCAGGAGUUAUGAAGAGAAGAAAAAGCAUCAAGUAACAAUCUUAAAUGCAGUAACCACAGAAUUUCUACCUGGGAAUCAUCUUACAAGGUUGCAUUCUGCUGAGAACAGGAGCUUCACAUCACUUACUGAGAGACUCAUCCUUCUCCUGAAGAGAAAGCAGUGUUUUAUAUAUAAGUGCCUUGGCUGUCCAAGGAUUGUCUCUAGAAAGUUCACAGCACUGUAUUCUAAAUGUGGCUUCUCAGUGUGCUGGUCACUGCUGUUGUGGUUUUAGCCUGAGAAGCCGAGUGUACCUCAGGCAUGGGAAGACCCAGAGCUGACUUAUGAGUAUGGAAGCUUGCUAGGACCGAAGAGAGCUAGAGAUGCUCCUGCGUUUCCCUUGGUGGCUUU